rnacentral:rRNA from 1 species
CUUUUAUGGAGAGUUUGAUCCUGGCUCAGGACGAACGCUGGCGGCGUGCCUAAUACAUGCAAGUCGAGCGGACCAAUUAGAAAGC